rnacentral:rRNA from 1 species
GACGAACGCUGGCGGCGUGCUUAACACAUGCAAGUCGAACGGAAAGGCCCUGCUUUUGUGGGGUGCUCGAGUGGCGAACGGGUGAGUAACACGUGAGUAACCUGCCCUUGACUUUGGGAUAACUUCAGGAAACUGGGGCUAAUACCGGAUAGGAGCUCCUGCUGCACGGUGGGGGUUGGAAAGUUUCGGCGGUUGGGGAUGGACUCGCGGCUUAUCAGCUUGUUGGUGGGGUAGUGGCUUACCAAGGCUUUGACGGGUAGCCGGCCUGAGAGGGUGACCGGCCACAUUGGGACCGAGAUACGGCCCAGACUCCUACGGGAGGCAGCAGUGGGGAAUAUUGCACAAUGGGCGGAAGCCUGAUGCAGCAACGCCGCGUGCGGGAUGACGGCCUUCGGGUUGUAAACCGCUUUCGCCUGUGACGAAGCGUGAGUGACGGUAAUGGGUAAAGAAGCACCGGCUAACUACGUG